CAAUAGCGUAUAUUAAAGUUGUUGCGGUUAAAAAGCUCGUAGUUGAAUUUCUGGUUGUGAAAGAUGGUCCGUUCCUCAAGGAAUGUGUACUAAUCAUUCAUGGCCAUCCUCGGGGAGAAUGUGUGUUACUUUCAGUAGUCGUGCACAGGAACCCGUCAUUUAUCUGUGAGCAAAAUAGAGUGUUCAAAGCAGGCUUAUGCCGUUGAAUAUAUUAGCAUGGAAUAAUAAGAUAUGACUUUGGUCUAUUUUGUUGGUUUGCUUUCCAAAGUAAUGAUUAAUAGGGAUAGUUGGGGUAUUCGUAUUCAAUUGUCAGAGGUGAAAUUCUUGGAUUUAUGGAAGACGAACUACUGCGAAAGCAUUUACCAAGGAUGUUUUUCAUUAAUCAAGAACGAAAGUUAGGGGAUCGAAGAUGAUUAGAU
rnacentral:rRNA from 1 species